rnacentral:rRNA from 1 species
UACGUAGGGUGCAAGCGUUAAUCGGAAUUACUGGGCGUAAAGCGUGCGCAGGCGGCUUUGCAAGACAGAUGUGAAAUCCCCGGGCUCAACCUGGGAAUGGCAUUUGGGACUGCAAGGCUGGAGUUUGGCAGAGGAGACUGGAAUUCCUGGUGUAGCAGUGAAAUGCGUAGAUAUCAGGAGGAAUACCGAUGGCGAAGGCAGGUCUCUGGGCUAUAACUGACGCUCAUGCACGAAAGCGUGGGGAGCAAACAGG